AGAGUUUGAUCCUGGCUCAGGACGAACGCUGGCGGCGUGCCUAACACAUGCAAGUCGAACGGACUGUUGUCCUUCGGGACAACAGUUAGUGGCGAACGGGUGAGUAACACGUGGGUAACCUGCCUCAAAGUGGGGGAUAGCCUUCCGAAAGGAAGAUUAAUACCGCAUAAGCCUACAGUGCCGCAUGGCACAGCAGGAAAAGGAGCAAUCCGCUUUGAGAUGGACCCGCGGCGCAUUAGCUAGUUGGUGAGGUAACGGCUCACCAAGGCGACGAUGCGUAGCCGACCUGAGAGGGUGAUCGGCCACACUGGAACUGAGAUACGGUCCAGACUCCUACGGGAGGCAGCAGUGGGGAAUAUUGGGCAAUGGGGGAAACCCUGACCCAGCGACGCCGCGUGAGGGAAGACGGCCUUCGGGUUGUAAACCUCUUUUGUAUGGGAAGAAGGACGUGACGGUACCAUACGAAUAAGUCCCGGCUAACUACGUGCCAGCAGCCGCGGUAAUACGUAGGGGACGAGCGUUGUCCGGAAUUACUGGGCGUAAAGGGCGCGCAGGCGGUUUGUCAAGUCAGCUGUUAAAAAUGGGGGCUUAACCCUCAUAUGCUGUUGAAACUGGCAGACUGGAGUGCUGUAGAGGCAAGUGGAAUUCCCAGUGUAGCGGUGAAAUGCGUAGAUAUUGGGAAGAACACCGGUGGCGAAGGCGACUUGCUGGGCAGCAACUGACGCUGAGGCGCGAAAGCCAGGGGAGCAAACGGGAUUAGAUACCCCGGUAGUCCUGGCCGUAAACGAUGAAUGCUAGGUGUGGGUGUAGAGAUACAUCCGUGCCGGAGCUAACGCGAUAAGCAUUCCGCCUGGGGAGUACGGUCGCAAGAUUGAAACUCAAAGGAAAUUGACG
rnacentral:rRNA from 1 species